GACGAACGCUGGCGGCGUGCCUAAUACAUGCAAGUUGAGCGCUGAAGGUUGGUACUUGUACCGACUGGAUGAGCAGCGAACGGGUGAGUAACGCGUGGGGAAUCUGCCUUUGAGCGGGGGACAACAUUUGGAAACGAAUGCUAAUACCGCAUAAAAACUUUAAACACAAGUUUUAAGUUUGAAAGAUGCAAUUGCAUCACUCAAAGAUGAUCCCGCGUUGUAUUAGCUAGUUGGUGAGGUAAAGGCUCACCAAGGCGAUGAUACAUAGCCGACCUGAGAGGGUGAUCGGCCACAUUGGGACUGAGACACGGCCCAAACUCCUACGGGAGGCAGCAGUAGGGAAUCUUCGGCAAUGGACGAAAGUCUGACCGAGCAACGCCGCGUGAGUGAAGAAGGUUUUCGGAUCGGAAAACUCUGUUGGUAGAGAAGAACGUUGGGGAGAGUGGAAAGCUCAUCAAGUGACGGUAACUACCCAGAAAGGGACGGCUAACUACGUG
rnacentral:rRNA from 1 species